GGGAAGGGAGCGGGGCUGCGUUAUUUUAGGGAGACCUUGUCGCACUCCCCCUCCCGCGUGUCGGUGUGUGCGGGGGGGCCCCAUGGAGAAACGCUGGCGGCGGCGGCCAGGGAGCCCAUCGCGACUGCAGGCGGCGGUAACCCGAGCCCGCGGGCGCGGGGACUGAGCGGCGAACAAAAGCCCUGGGCGCGGGGCCUCAGUGCGGGGCGCGCGGUGAGUGAGCUAGCGCGGGGCUCGAAAGCUGCGAGCGGUAGCGCGCCGGGCUCGCUAGGAUGCGCUGGGAGUGGGGUGCGGGGCCUUGGAAGGCGGCCGGAGGCAGGUGUCAGCGCCCAGACGCGGCAGGCUGGUGCCUGCAGCACCUUCAGGCUGGGCGAUCGGGUGUACCCCGCAGGCCCCCGGGCGCCUUCUCCAUCUGCAGCAUUCGGCGGGAGGGUGGGGGGCAGGGGAGGCGGGCACUGUGACUGUAAGCCCUGCCCCAGAGGCAGCCGCCGGAAUCGAUCGCCCCUCGGGGGAGGCCUUUUGGGAACGAGGCGUAUCUCUCCGGAGGUCCUUCCGUCAUUCUCGGACCCCGUGCCUGGGUCUCCGCGGAGGGGAAACCCACCCAAAACUUCCCCCACGGGCAGCCGGGGUCCUCGCAGCUAUGCAUAUGCACUUUGGGGAUAAAAUAGGCCUUUAAUUUUUUUGGGUUCCUGCAUCCCGGGUCGACCCCCGCCUGAGUUACAGACAAAUACGCUAAUCCGCCUGGAAUCCUCCCGGUCCAGCAGCUGCUGCACCUUGGUCUUUUCAUUUUAAUUUGCAGCGGGAAGGGAUGCAACCGGCGGGGAGCUUCACCACAGGCCUCCGUCCUGCACACGGCGGGUGGGAGAAACUGGGGGGGGCUGUUCUCUGAGCAGCGAUACCAUCACCCUCAAACCACCCGCCCUUCCCUGCCCUGGAUUUUCCGGGCAUCUGUAUUACAUUCCUCUGGACCUCUGAGUCUUAAUCCCAAAAUGGAUUAAGAUGGGGGGGGGUAUGGAUAGGAAGGGAGACGAGCUCGCAAAUGCAUUCUUCGAUGUCCCUCCCUUGUCAUCCGCAGAGACGCCACGAAAGGACAGGGCUCAACCAUGGUGGACCCUGUGCCUCCGGAGGAAAAGGCAGAAGCGGAGCCCGGGGACGCGGGAGGGGAUGCAGAUGCCACAUCGGUGCCCCCGGGUGCCCAGCAGCCCGCCGCCUCCUCGGCCUCGGCGGCGUCACACAAAGCGGACGAGCAGACGGGCGUGGCGGAAGGCGGCCGGCGGGAGCAGUCCCCGAUGCUGCACCUCGACCUCUUCAACUUCGACUGCCCGGAGGCCGAAGGCAGCCGCUACGUGCUGACCAGCCCCCGGUCGCUGGAAGCCUGCGCCCGCUGCGCCGUCAAACCCGUGGAGCUGCUGCCGCGCGCACUGGCCGACCUGGUGCGCGAGGCCCCGGGCCGCUCCAUGCGCGUGGCCACCGGCCUGUACGAGGCCUACGAGGCAGAGCGGCGAGCCAAGCUGCAGCAGUGUAGAGCCGAGCGUGAGCGCAUAGUGCGCGAGGAGAAGCGGCGCCUCUUCACGCCGCUGGGCCCCGCCGCCUCGGCCCCCAGCGCGGGCAGCAGCAGCAGCUGCAGCAGCGCCAGCCUCCCCGCCUCGCCCGCGCCUCGCACACCCCGCAAGGCCUCCUCCAACCCUUCCCCGGCGCGGACCCAGCCUCCGCCCCCGGCUUCGCGCGCAGGACGGAAGAGCCACUCCCUGGACUCGCUGUCCCGCCGGCGGGAGGGCGCGCUCAGCUCCGAGUCCGGCGCGUCGUCGUCGUCCUACAGCGGGGAGAGCCUGCGGGAACUGCGCUGGUCGUCGCGGAGCUCGGCCAGAAACAGCUACCCGGCCUGUUCGGCGUCCUCGGCCCCCAACCCUCUGGGCCGCCCAUCCGCCUUGGCCCUGGUGCCCAUCACCGGCCGCAGCUUCAGCCUGGGCGACCUGAGCCACUCACCGCAGACCGCGCAGCACGUGGAGCGCAUAGUGCGCCAAGUGCGCGCCGAGCGGGGCCUGCGCGGGGUACCCGAGCGCGACCGGAAGAUCGCGGCGCUGAUGCUGGCGCGCCACCAGGAGGAGCGCCUGCUGCUGGAGCAGCGCGCCGCUGCGCACGGCCAGUGGGAGCAGCAGCGGGUGCGCGCCGAGCAGCGGCGGGAGCGCGAGGAGCGCGAGAAGCAGCGCGCGCUGGAGCGGGGCCGCCGGGCCUGGGCGUCGCAGGUGGAGGAGCGGCGGGGCCGCCGGGGCCGCGAGGAGCGCGAGGCGGCGCAGCUUAGGCAGCGGCAGUGUGAACGCAGCGAGGAGCGGCGGCGGGGGCUGGCCGAGCGCCAGGGCGUGCUGCGGCGCGAGCGGGCGGAGCGCGUGGCCCAGGAGGACCGGCUGCGCAAGCUGCAGCAGGAGCAGAACCUGAAGCAGCGCCAGGAAGGCCUGCAGGAGGGGCGCGAGCGGGCGGAACAGGCCCGCAGGGAGCGCGCCCAGCGCGCCGCCCGCACCAAGCAGUGCCAGGAGGGCCAGCUGCAGCGCGAGAAGCGGGAGCUGAGCCGGGCGGAGCGGGCGCGCCACGAGGCGCUGCUGCAAGGCCGGGUGCGGCAGGAACGCGCGGACCGAGAGGGCCUCCGGAGCUCGCUGGAGGCCAGCCUGGGCCGCGCACAGGAGAACUACGAGCAGUUGGUGGAGCAGCGUGCCCGAGAGCUGCGGCAGCGAGCCAGGCGGGAGGAGCUGCAGGGCCGGCGGGCCAAGGAGGCCGCGGAACGCAAAGGCCGAGAACACCAGGAGCAUCUGGAAGCGCUGGCGCGGGCUGGGGAGCGACGACUACAGCACGCGAUGCAAGCAGCAGAGGAGGCCGUGCAGCAGAAGGCGCGGCGGGUGGGCCAGAACCGCUUGGAGAAGGAGCGGACCCAGCGCGCCAACAAAGAGAAGGUGGACCGAGAUGAAGACAGCCGUCGGAAGGAGCUGCUCCAAGCCAUCGGGCGCAAGCUGGAACGCAGCGAGCAGCUGUCCCGGGAGCGCCGCAGCGCCCUGGAAAGUGCACGCUCCACUGCCCGUGCCUCCUUCCACGUGCGCGAGAAGGUCCGCGAGGAGACCAACAAGCGCUCCUUCGACCGCAUGGUGCGCGAGGCCCAGCUGCACGCCAGCCUGGACCGCAAGUAACCGCAGACCUGCCUGACUGCCACACACAGCCCCUUAGAGCCUCUGCUGAGCCCCUGGGAGUGCCCAGCCCACGCGGCGCACUGGACCUCGCCAGGCUUUUGACCAGUAAGGGCAGGCUUGUGAACCUUAUCAUCGGUCUGCACCAUUGUUUCUUAAAACUGGCUUCAUCAUCUGGGAUGACUUAGCACAAGCUUUGGCCACAUCCGCCCUUGGUGGUUUUCUCACAGGCCCCUGUUAGGCUAAGUGUUUUAGGAAUUAGAAACAGCUGGGGAAAGGAAGAGUUGGGAUUAGGGAGAGGUCCUUCCCCCCAUCCCCAACCACCACCCUCUUCCAGGAGAGACAGAGAUGACUGACCCCUGCUGCCGCAGCUGCCCCAAACACCUUUCACAUAGUGUGUCUGGGGAAACCUGUGACUACUGCAGCUGAGCGGCUCCCUGCCUCACUCCUACCUUUCAAACUAGAACACGUUGCACAAAGCUUGGAAGCUCGGGAAAAGAAAGCACAACUCUAAAAGUAUUAGGCCACAACCAAGUGACCCAAAAGCCUAUUGGUACUUGUGUCUUUAACUUUUAAUCUGCUGUAUGAGCAAAUUCUAGUCCUGGUUCUAAAAGUUUCCAGUUGAUUUCCCCUCUCCACCACAUCCCCAGGAUUUUUAGGUAGACAAUCAUCUACAAGUAUUGCUCAGUCACUGUCUUUUUCUCUUUCUCUCCUUGUUCACCCAAGUGACAAAGAAAAUCAAUUGGUUUGAUGAUGUUGAAAUGGGAACCUCCAACCCCAGGGAAAACAAGUUCCUUAGGCAGCAGUGCUCCCACCCUAUGAAGCAUUUCUUGCAGGGUAGUUUGCAGGAGAAGUUUGUCUGAGCUGUCCCCCUCAGUGUAGAGCCCACUCCUGAAAGACAGUAGCCAUGCCUUAAGGAGCAUGUAGCUACCUUAUAUGCCUGCCCGGGCUACUCCUGCCUAAAUCUACAGCCCUCCACAUGCCCAUACCCCAAGGGCAGGCAUUCCAGAGAGUAUACAGGAAAGGGUUCUGUCCUCUGCCAAGGAGUCAUUUCUGGAGUUCUGAGGGCAAUUCACUAUGGUUGGUGGAAGACAAUUGCCUCCUGCUGUUGAGAAUUGUGCUCACUGCUGCUGGUGUUUUGUUGUCUUCUCUUCCCACAGUGAUAAAAAUGAAACUCUCCGCCCGGCCCCCAGGCACCUCCUUAAAUGUCUGGUUCCUUCUCACCUAUAAACAUUGAAUGAGUUUUCUGGUGCCUCCCCUCUACCUUUGGCCAGAUGAGGCCAUCAGUCCUUUUCUGCUGGGACCUCAAUGUCUCCCAGAUCCAAAGGCCAGCUUCAGUAUUAUUUGUUGGUUUUCUUUGUGCCUUUUGUGACCAGGAAUUAAGAGGUAGAAGGGCUGUGAUUGACUGAGUUUGCUUCUGGGAAUAUGUACUCCCAGCCUUGGAAGGAACAGAGCAUCACAGACAGAUGGUCAUACAGCUUCUCCCUAGAGGACCAUUUUCCUUAAAAGUGCUUGUAAGACCAGGUCACUCCCAGGCUCAAAGAGUCCAGCUGAGUUGUCUUCAGGCAUCCUUAAACCCUAAGAGUUCAUCCCUUCCAUGAAGCUCAAAUCCGCCCUUCUCCACACCCAUCCACUGACUCUGCCUCCAUCGUGUGAGAAGUAAAGCAUUACACUCUACAUUAAAUCAAGAUCAGGACAUUUAAGUUACCAAAAACAAUCACAGUAAAGAACAGUAAUAGUAGACAUAUGUCAUGUAUAGUCUGCUGGGCAGAAUUAUUCCUGAAAUGCCUAGUGUAUCAAACACACACAAGCAGUCCCCCUUCCCAUAACAUGUCAGCAAAAGUAUUGUGUGAAGAAAGUAGUACUUCAGUGUUACACUUCAGACAUUGUGAAUCCAAGAAAGAAGCUGUUUUCUUUUUCUUAAAUGGAUGAGUUUUUCCCUCAGAUUCUCCUGGAAGCAACAAAACUGUCAGUAAGUUGUGAUGAUUGACAUUGUGAGUCAGGAUCAUUUAACGGGAAAAAAAUGAUCAACAACAGCAACAGUUAAUACAAUACUGGCUCUUAUCUUGUAGUUCCUAGAGAACUUUUGGAACCUUAAUAGAAAGUUCCACCUAAAGCCACUUAUUUACAAAGCAGGUGCAUUCAUUUGAGAAAGACAGAACCUAGUUUUUGGGAAAGGCACUGAAAGGUAGGUAGGUUAUCUGACCUGGCCCUUUAUUCAGUUUGUUUGUGAAUUACUGAGUGGCUUUGGGUAGGUUACCUCUCUGUGCCUUGGUUUGCCUGCCGGUAAGGUGGGAAUUAUAAUCUCUGCUCUCCCUCUCACACAGACACUGUGAGAAUCAACACGGUGCUCUUAGUUUUACGACUUUGGAACUGCAGGUACAAUCAGUAUAAAGAGAAAGGAUUACUAGGGCUGUAUUCUGCCUGGAGAAUAUAGUGCACCUCAUGACCUAGUGCAGGAAGGAAUGAUCUGCAAAAAGGACAUUGUUGGUGAAAGUGUCAUAAAGAUCUACAUCAAACUAGAGGUUUACAUUUAGAGAAAAGCACUGUGUAGUGGCAAACACUUUCAGAGUAUUCUUUUUUUAAAAAAAGAAGACAGUCAUAUGUCUAAGUAGAAGUUAAGCAAAAACAGAAACCAAACCUAGUAGGGAAUGGUUCUUCCCAAUUUCAAGCCAUUCUCUAGAAUACAGACCCAUUUCUAUGAAUAUAUGCUAGGAUAAGAGGUCAUGUUGCUCUCUCAGGAGGACCAAUCUUUAGGAUCUCUUGUCAGGACCUUUAUCUAUAUUCUCUGCCGUGAUGUUAGCAAGGAAAAGGUAUUUCUUAUUCUUAAAUGCAACAAGAAAAAAAAUCACAGGGUAUUGGAAGUGGGAAUGAUGGGCGGACAAUGGCUUAUGCCUUCAAUGUGACUAUUUGAAGAAAGAAAAAAAAAAGCCCAGAAUAUGCCUCAGAGCACCAGGCUGGGAGAUUUCUUGUCAUCCAGGAAAGGGGAGCCUUGAUGUGACCUCAGACCAUUGCAUUUGAACCCUUGGAACAUCCCCUGACUCAGAAAAGAGAGAACAUGAUGUAGGAUGAGGAGCCUUGAGCAGGGCUGGAGACAAACUCUCAUGCAUUACCAAGAAAACAAGCAGGAUAAAACUAGUUGUCAUGGAAUCUUGGGUGAAGCUGCUCUAGUGAUCUUGAGUAGUGGUCCAUGUCUACACCACACCUGGGCAGGAAGAUGGAAGCCUCCCUUUGAAGCACACAGACUGGGAGUUACCAGUGGGAACGACCACCAGAAUUUGCCAAGAAUGAAGAGUCUUCGGCCUCAAGGUCACUUCAGGCUCUGGACUGUAAUCCCGGUGUCCAUAAUUUCUGAAACCCUCACUGAGCCACCAGGAUAAGGAAGGAUUCGCUUGUUGCCACAAUGCUGCUUCAUCCUACUUAGGGUGUGAAACUAACUGGUAAAUGGAAUGUGGAUACAGAACAUCUCCAUGUGACAAGAAUGACUGAUAUUAGCACAGUUUAAAAACACAGUCCCUCAUGGAUGAUGUAUCUCCAAGACAGAGUUUCACAAAGGUCCAAAGUGUCUUGACUGACUCAAAGGAUUACUGUUCCACAUGUCCUGCCUAUCUCCUGUAACGUGAGGACAUGAGAGCUUACUUGUAGGCGGUUGUUAAAUUUGAGUUAGUGUUUGGAAAGUAGCAUCUUCACUGGAAACACAGCCCUCAAUUUGUGAAUAUGGUUGUUCUGGACCUGGUAAGGUAGUAAGAGAAGGAAUAGGGUAGGUUCAACUUCAAUCAGGUGGCAUUAUCAGAUACCAGGUUUGGAUGGCAGCCUUCACAGCUAUGCCACUUGCUGUGCAGCUGGUGGCCUCUGGAAACAGGGUUUCCCAGGUAAUGUGUAGUCAUCUGGGUUGGGGAGGGGGGUGGGGGACAGGGAAAAAGUGAUUACCUUGUUUACCAAAUGUUUGGCAAUAAAAUUGUCAUCUGAUAAUUUUUGAGAUGUUAGGAUUCCUUUGUGAUGGCUAAAAUGACAGAUAUACUCAUAUGCAUAUAUUUUUCUGAGAGGAAAGAGAGUGGGCUUCUUUCCUCUUGAGACCCAAGUUCAAUGGCAGUAUCCUCCAGUAGGACCAGGCAAGAGAGUCUGUGGGAGAGCCACUGCUCUGAGGCACUGCAGGUGUGGUAGAGCCUAGAAAGAAAUGUAGACUUCAAGGGGAGUUGGGCAGUAGCACAGCGGGUUAAGCAUACAUGGCACAAAGCGCAAGGACUGGAGUGAAGAUCCCGGUUCAAGUCCCCGACUACCCACCUGCAGGGGAGUCACUUCACAGGCAGUGAAACAGGUCUGCAAGUGUCUAUCUUUUCUCCUGAUCUCUGUCUUCCCCUCCUCUCUCUAUUUAUCUCUAUCCUAUCUAACAACAAUGACGUCAAUAAUAACUACAACAAUAAAAAACAACAAAGGCAACAAAAGGGAAAACGAAUACAAAAAUUUUUAAAAGAAAUGUAGACUUCAGACAACCUCAACCAGUGUGUCCUGGAACCUCACCUCUGAAGAGCCCAGACCCACUAGGGAGAGAUAGAAACAGGCUGGGGAUAUGGAUUAACCUGUCACUGCCCAUGUCCAGCAGAGAAGUAUUUACAGAAGCAAGACCUCCCAUCUUCUGUGCCCCAUAAAGAUCUUUGGUCCAUACUCCCACAGAAAUGAAAAAUAGGAAAGCUUCCUAUGGAGGGGAGGGGGUUGGGAAUUCUGGUGGUGACAGUUGUAUGGAAUUAUACCCCUCUUAUCCCACAAUCUUGUCGAUCAUUAUUAAAUCACUAAUAAAAUGAAAGAAAGAGAGAAAGAAAUGUAGGCUGCCCAGUCAUCUGAGUAAAAAGUGGGUCUGGGACAAACCCAGCCUGGAUGAGCACAGAUGAGCUCACUGUAGGAACAGAGAGAUGUGUGUAGUUUAACAUCGCUUUCAACAGAUGAAUUGUAUCUUUUUUUUUUUUUUUUAGUACAGGAGCACUGCUCAGCUCUGGCUUAUGGUGGUGUGGGGGGACUAAACCUGGGACUUUAGAGCUCACCUGUCCUAAAUUUCUUUUCCUAAUAUUUAUUUAUAAUGAGAGAGAGAGGGAGAGAGAACUAGAACUAGAGCUUCACUCUGGCACAUGCGAUGCCAUGGAUCGCUUGAGAGGCCAAUGUUUUAUCCACUGUGCCACCUCCUGGGUCACAAUAAAUGUAUUUCUUCUAUUUUUUAACAUUUAAUAUUAUUUAUUAUUGGAUAGAGACAGAGAGAAAUUGAUAGGGGUGGGGAGAGAGAGAAAGUGACAAAGAGACUUCU